rnacentral:rRNA from 1 species
GAUGAACGCUAGCUACAGGCUUAACACAUGCAAGUCGCGGGGCAGCAUGAAUUUAGCUUGCUAAAUUUGAUGGCGACCGGCGCACGGGUGAGUAACGCGUAUCCAACCUGCCCAUGUCCACGGGAUAGCCCGUCGAAAGGCGGAUUAAUACCGUAUGAGGUCACAUGCGGGCAUCUAAGUGUGACGAAAGGUUUGGCGGACAUGGAUGGGGAUGCGUCCGAUUAGCUAGUUGGCGGGGUAACGGCCCACCGAGACGACGAUCAGUAGGGGUUCUGAGAGGGAAGUCCCCCACAUUGGAACUGAGACACGGUCCAAACUCCUACGGGAGGCAGCAGUGAGGAAUAUUGGUCAAUGGGCGGAAGCCUGAACCAGCCAAGUAGCGUGCAGGACGACGGCCCUAUGGGGUUGUAAACUGCUUUUAUGCGGGGAUAAAGUGGGCCACGCGUGGCCUUUUGCAGGUACCGCAUGAAUAAGGACCGGCUAAUUCCGUG